GGCGUCUCGGAAGGCAAGGACGAAAAAAGCCUUCCCUUCCAAAGAAUUCGCGAAAGAACGCCUUUAAAUUCACAGUCCUAAGACCGAAUGGAGUCGAAGGAAAGUGCAGCCGGCCGAAUUAACAGCGCCGCGUUUUUCUCUUCGUAUUCGAGAUGGUGAAUGCUGCAAUAUCCUAUUUUUUUCUAUUUAAAUCUAUUAAUAUAUGGAAUAAAGAUGGAUAGAAAUAGAUGUUACCACACGUAAUCACGAAUAUGAUUCCUUCCUCUGCAUGAAGAAGUCUACCGUACACUUGGCAUAGACAGAAUGAAACGUGUGAAUAGAUAGUGUCAUAAAGUGUAGAUAAAAAAAUUAAAAUGUGAAUACAGAUAGUGUCAUAAAGUGUAGAUAAAAAAAUAAAUA